GAUGAACGCUAGCUACAGGCUUAACACAUGCAAGUCGAGGGGAAACGAUAGAGAAAGCUUGCUUUUUCUAGGCGUCGACCGGCGCACGGGUGAGUAACGCGUAUCCAACCUGCCCAUCACUUGGGGAUAACCUUGCGAAAGUAAGACUAAUACCCAAUGACGUCCAUAGAAGACAUCUGAAAUGGAUUAAAGAUUUAUCGGUGAUGGAUGGGGAUGCGUCUGAUUAGCUUGUUGGCGGGGUAACGGCCCACCAAGGCGACGAUCAGUAGGGGUUCUGAGAGGAAGGUCCCCCACAUUGGAACUGAGACACGGUCCAAACUCCUACGGGAGGCAGCAGUGAGGAAUAUUGGUCAAUGGACGAGAGUCUGAACCAGCCAAGUAGCGUGCAGGAUGACGGCCCUAUGGGUUGUAAACUGCUUUUAUAAGGGAAUAAAGUGGGAGUCGUGACUCCUUUUGCAUGUACCUUAUGAAUAAGGACCGGCUAAUUCCGUGCCAGCCGCCGCAGUAA
rnacentral:rRNA from 1 species